UACUGGUCAAUGGACGGAAGUCUGAACCAGCCAAGCAGCGUGCAGGAAGACGGCCCCAUGGGUUGUAAACUGCUUUUAUACGGGGAUGAAGUGAGCCACGUGUGGCUUAUUGCAGGUACCGUAUGAACAAGCACCGGCUAAUUCCGUCCCAGCAGCCGCGGUAAUACGGAAGGUCCGGGCGUUAUCCGGAAUUAUUGGGUUUAAAGGGAGCGUAGGCCGUUUGUUAAGCGUGUUGUGAAAUGUCGGGGCUCAACCUGGGCAUUGCAGCGCGAACUGGCAGACUUGAGUGCGCGGGAAGUAGGCGGAAUUCGUCGUGUAGCGGUGAAAUGCUUAGAUAUGACGAAGAACUCCGAUUGCGAAGGCAGCCUGCUGUAGCGUAACUGACGCUGAAGCUCGAAAGCGUGGGUAUCGAACAGG
rnacentral:rRNA from 1 species